rnacentral:rRNA from 1 species
CUUAGGCGUGUGACUGCGUACCUUUUGUAUAAUGGGUCAGCGACUUAUAUUCUGUAGCAAGGUUAACCGAAUAGGGGAGCCGAAGGGAAACCGAGUCUUAACUGGGCGUUAAGUUGCAGGGUAUAGACCCGAAACCCGGUGAUCUAGCCAUGGGCAGGUUGAAGGUUGGGUAACACUAACUGGAGGACCGAACCGACUAAUGUUGAAAAAUUAGCGGAUGACUUGUGGCUGGGGGUGAAAGGCCAAUCAAACCGGGAGAUAGCUGGUUCUCCCCGAAAGCUAUUUAGGUAGCGCCUCGUGAAUUCAUCUCCGGGGGUAGAGCACUGUUUCGGCAAGGGGGUCAUCCCGACUUACCAACCCGAUGCAAACUGCGAAUACCGGAGAAUGUUAUCACGGGAGACACACGGCGGGUGCUAACGUCCGUCGUGAAGAGGGAAACAACCCAGACCGCCAGCUAAGGUCCCAAAGUCAUGGUUAAGUGGGAAACGAUGUGGGAAGGCCCAGACAGCCAGGAUGUUGGCUUAGAAGCAGCCAUCAUUUAAAGAAAGCGUAAUAGCUCACUGGUCGAGUCGGCCUGCGCGGAAGAUGUAACGGGGCUAAACCAUGCACCGAAGCUGCGGCAGCGACGCUUAUGCGUUGUUGGGUAGGGGAGCGUUCUGUAAGCCUGUGAAGGUGUGCUGUGAGGCAUGCUGGAGGUAUCAGAAGUGCGAAUGCUGACAUAAGUAACGAUAAAGCGGGUGAAAAGCCCGCUCGCCGGAAGACCAAGGGUUCCUGUCCAACGUUAAUCGGGGCAGGGUGAGUCGACCCCUAAGGCGAGGCCGAAAGGCGUAGUCGAUGGGAAACAGGUUAAUAUUCCUG